rnacentral:miRNA from 1 species
UAGCCCAGAAGUAUGGAAAGUC